UACGUAGGGUGCAAGCGUUGUCCGGAAUUAUUGGGCGUAAAGAGCUCGUUGGCGGUCUGUCGCGUCGGCUGUGAAAACCCGGAGCUCAACUCCGGGCCUGCAGUCGAUACGGGCAGACUGGAGUUCGGCAGGGGAGACUGGAAUUCCUGGUGUAGCGGUGAAAUGCGCAGAUAUCAGGAGGAACACCGGUGGCGAAGGCGGGUCUCUGGGCCGAUACUGACGCUGAGGAGCGAAAGCGUGGGGAGCGAACAGG
rnacentral:rRNA from 1 species